AAAUAGGAUGGGCACCAGAUUAAACUGUUUUUGUAUCACUUCUUAGAGGGACUUUGCGUGUCUAACGCAAGGAAGUUUGAGGCAAUAACAGGUCUGUGAUGCCCUUAGAUGUUCUGGGCUGCACGCGCGCUACACUGAUGCAUCCAACAAGUUGUUAAAAACCUUGGCCGAUAGGUUUAGGUAAUCUUUUGAGUAUGCAUCGUGAUGGGGAUAGAUUAUUGCAAUUAUUAAUCUUCAACGAGGAAUGCCUAGUAGGCGCAAGUCAGCAGCUUGCGCCGAUUACGUCCCUGCCCUUGUACACACCGCC
rnacentral:rRNA from 1 species